UGUCUGCACGUACGUCACUUUCGCUUCUUCCCUGCUGAAAGAGGUUUACAACCCGAAGGCCGUCAUCCCUCACGCGGCGUCGCUGCAUCAGGCUUUCGCCCAUUGUGCAAUAUUCCCCACUGCUGCCUCCCGUAGGAGUCCCCCCGUGCCCCCGCCCCGCCCGCCGCGCGCGGCGGGCAGGGCGGGGGCACGGGGGGACUCCU
rnacentral:rRNA from 1 species